rnacentral:rRNA from 1 species
AACGCUAGCUACAGGCUUAACACAUGCAAGUCGAGGGGCAGCGGGAUUGAAGCUUGCUUCAAUUGCCGGCGACCGGCGCACGGGUGAGUAACGCGUAUCCAACCUUCCGUACACUCAGGGAUAGCCUUUCGAAAGAAAGAUUAAUACCUGAUAGUAUGAUGAGAUUGCAUGGUAUCAUCAUUAAAGAUUUAUCGGUGUACGAUGGGGAUGCGUUCCAUUAGGUAGUAGGCGGGGUAACGGCCCACCUAGCCAACGAUGGAUAGGGGUUCUGAGAGGAAGGUCCCCCACAUUGGAACUGAGACACGGUCCAAACACCUACGGGAGGCAGCAGUGAGGAAUAUUGGUCAAUGGACGAGAGUCUGAACCAGCCAAGUAGCGUGAAGGAUGAAGGUCCUACGGAUUGUAAACUUCUUUUAUAAGGGAAUAAACCCUCCCACGUGUGGGAGCUUGUAUGUACCUUAUGAAUAAGCAUCGGCUAACUCCGUGCCAGCAGCCGCGGUAAUACGGAGGAUGCGAGCGUUAUCCGGAUUUAUUGGGUUUAAAGGGAGCGCAGACGGGUCGUUAAGUCAGCUGUGAAAGUUUGGGGCUCAACCUUAAAAUUGCAGUUGAUACUGGCGUCCUUGAGUGCGGUUGAGGUGUGCGGAAUUCGUGGUGUAGCGGUGAAAUGCUUAGAUAUCACGAAGAACUCCGAUUG